GAAAGGCUGUAUUUCACAUACAGCUGGGUGUCCAUGUUACACCCCAGUUAGA
rnacentral:ncRNA from 1 species